rnacentral:rRNA from 1 species
UUUAAUUCGAAGCAACGCGAAGAACCUUACCAGGUCUUGACAUCCUCUGACACUCCUAGAGAUAGGACGUUCCCCUUCGGGGGACAGAGUGACAGGUGGUGCAUGGUUGUCGUCAGCUCGUGUCGUGAGAUGUUGGGUUAAGUCCCGCAACGAGCGCAACCCUUGAUCUUAGUUGCCAGCAUUCAGUUGGGCACUCUAAGGUGACUGCCGGUGACAAACCGGAGGAAGGUGGGGAUGACGUCAAAUCAUCAUGCCCCUUAUGACCUGGGCUACACACGUGCUACAAUGGAUGGUACAAAGGGCUGCAAGACCGCGAGGUUUAGCCAAUCCCAUAAAACCAUUCUCAGUUCGGAUUGCAGGCUGCAACUCGCCUGCAUGAAGCCGGAAUCGCUAGUAAUCGCGGAUCAGCAUGCCGCGGUGAAUACGUUCCCGGGCCUUGUACACACCGCCCGUCACACCACGAGAGUUUGUAACACCCGAAGUCGGUGGGGUAACCUUUUGGAGCCAGCCGCCUAAGGUGGGACAGAUGAUUGGGGUGAAGUCGUAACAAGGUAGCCGUAUCGGAAGGUGCGGCUGGAUCACCUCCUUUCUAAGGAUGAAAUGAAGUUUAUCUUCAUUAAAAGACGUCUUUAUUUGUUCGUUCAGUUUUGAGAGAGCAAUCUCUCUGGGUUAGUAUUUUGAAAAAGAAUACUAACUUAAAUACAUUGCUCCUGCGCCGCAGUAGUUCGAGGAAGUUAAUCCUCAGCUCGUCGCAAGGCAGCAUGAAGAAUAGCUGCGAUGGCUAAUCACGAUGUGAUUGAAAUCAGUGGCCUUGUUCCUUGAAAACUAGAUAAUGCAAUAUAGAAGAAGAUUACCAAGUAAUCGCCAUCUUAGUUUUUUCUCUCUUAUUUAGAAACUAAUCUUUAGUAACGAAGUAAGAGCAGUAACCAUGAGGGUAAUGAGCGACAAGGAGAUCAAGGAAGCGACGGAGCGAGCACCGGAGCGUACUUCGUACGUGAGGAGCAGAGUGACAGAGCUGACGCAGAGAUCCGCAGGCGAUCAUUAGCCGAAGUANGUAAGGACUGGUGGAGCGCUUAGAAGUGAGAAUGCCGGUAUGAGUAGCGAAAGAUGGGUGAGAAUCCCAUCCACCGAAUGCCUAAGGUUUCCUGAGGAAGGCUCGUCCGCUCAGGGUUAGUCGGGACCUAAGCCGAGGCUGAAAAGCGUAGGCGAUGGACAACAGGUUGAUAUUCCUGUACCACCAAAAUCCGUUUGAGUGAUGGGGGGACGCAGGAGGAUAGGGUAAGCGCGCUGUUGGAUUAGCGCGUCCAAGCAGUUAGGCUGCAAGUGAGGCAAAUCCCGCUUGCAUACGGCUGAGCUGUGACGGCGAGGGAAAUAUAGUACCGAAGUUCUUGAUUCCACACUGCCAAGAAAAGCCUCUAGCGAGGAUUAGGUGCCCGUACCGCAAACCGACACAGGUAGGCGAGGAGAGAAUCCUAAGGUGAGCGAGAGAACUCUCGUUAAGGAACUCGGCAAAAUGACCCCGUAACUUCGGGAGAAGGGGUGCUCAUUAGGGUGUUAAAGCCUUGAUGAGCCGCAGUGAAUAGGCCCAGGCGACUGUUUAGCAAAAACACAGGUCUCUGCGAAGCCGCAAGGCGAAGUAUAGGGGCUGACGCCUGCCCGGUGCUGGAAGGUUAAGAGGAGGGGUUAGCGCAAGCGAAGCUCUGAAUCGAAGCCCCAGUAAACGGCGGCCGUAACUAUAACGGUCCUAAGGUAGCGAAAUUCCUUGUCGGGUAAGUUCCGACCCGCACGAAAGGCGUAACGAUCUGGGCACUGUCUCAACGAGAGACUCGGUGAAAUUAUAGUACCUGUGAAGAUGCAGGUUACCCGCGACAGGACGGAAAGACCCCGUGGAGCUUUACUGUAGCCUGAUAUUGAAUUUUGGUACAGCUUGUACAGGAUAGGUAGGAGCCUGAGAAACCGGAGCGCCAGCUUCGGUGGAGGCGUCGGUGGGAUACUACCCUGGCUGUAUUGAAAUUCUAACCCGCGCCCCUGAUCGGGGCGGGAGACAGUGUCAGGUGGGCAGUUUGACUGGGGCGGUCGCCUCCUAAAAAGUAACGGAGGCGCCCAAAGGUUCCCUCAGAAUGGUUGGAAAUCAUUCGUAGAGUGUAAAGGCACAAGGGAGCUUGACUGCGAGACCUACAAGUCGAGCAGGGACGAAAGUCGGGCUUAGUGAUCCGGUGGUUCCGCAUGGAAGGGCCAUCGCUCAACGGAUAAAAGCUACCCCGGGGAUAACAGGCUUAUCUCCCCCAAGAGUCCACAUCGACGGGGAGGUUUGGCACCUCGAUGUCGGCUCAUCGCAUCCUGGGGCUGUAGUCGGUCCCAAGGGUUGGGCUGUUCGCCCAUUAAAGCGGUACGCGAGCUGGGUUCAGAACGUCGUGAGACAGUUCGGUCCCUAUCCGUCGUGGGCGCAGGAAAUUUGAGAGGAGCUGUCCUUAGUACGAGAGGACCGGGAUGGACGCACCGCUGGUGUACCAGUUGUCUUGCCAAAGGCAUCGCUGGGUAGCUAUGUGCGGAAGGGAUAAGUGCUGAAAGCAUCUAAGCAUGAAGCCCCCCUCGAGAUGAGAUUUCCCAUAGCGUCAAGCUAGUAAGAACCCUGAAAGAUGAUCAGGUUGAUAGGUCAGAGGUGGAAGCGUGGCGACAUGUGCAGCUGACUGAUACUAAUCGUUCGAGGACUUAACC